rnacentral:rRNA from 1 species
AGCAGCCGCGGUAAUUCCAGCUCCAAUAGCGUAUAUUAAAGUUGUUGCAGUUAAAAAGCUCGUAGUCGAAUUUUAGGCCUGACCGGACGGUCCGUCUCUGGCGAGUACUGUUCUGUUGUCGGGUCUAUCCUUCUGGUGAGCCGGUAUGCCCUUUAUUGGGUGUGUCGGGGAACCAGGACCAUUACCUUGAAAAAAUUAGAGUGUUUAAAGCGGGCUUUUGCUUGAAUAGAUUAGCAUGGAAUAAUAGAAUAGGACGUUGGUUCUAUUUUGUUGGUCUAGGACCACCGUAAUGAUUAAUAGGGAUAGUUGGGGGCAUUAGUAUUCAAUUGUCAGAGGUGAAAUUCUUGGAUUUAUUGAAGACUAACUACUGCGAAAGCAUUUGCCAAGGAUGUUUUCAUUAAUCAAGAACGAAAGUUAGGGGAUCGAAGACGAUCAGAUACCGUCGUAGUCUUAACCAUAAACUAUGCCGACUAGGAAUCGGGCGACGUUAUUUUCAUGACUCGCUCGGCGCCUUAUG